CCUACGGGUGGCUGCAGUGGGGAAUAUUGGACAAUGGGGGAACCCUGAUCCAGCCAUGCCGCGUGUGUGAAGAAGGCCCUCGGGUUGUAAAGCACUUUCAGUGAGGAAGAACGCCUGGUGGUUAAUACCCAUCAGGAAAGACAUCACUCACAGAAGAAGCACCGGCUAACUCUGUGCCAGCAGCCGCGGUAAUACGGAGGGUGCGAGCGUUAAUCGGAAUUACUGGGCGUAAAGCGCGCGUAGGUGGCUUGAUAAGCCGGUUGUGAAAGCCCCGGGCUCAACCUGGGAACGGCAUCCGGAACUGUCAAGCUAGAGUGCAGGAGAGGAAGGUAGAAUUCCCGGUGUAGCGGUGAAAUGCGUAGAGAUCGGGAGGAAUACCAGUGGCGAAGGCGGCCUUCUGGACUGACACUGACACUGAGGUGCGAAAGCGUGGGUAGCAAACAGGAUUAGAUACCCUGGUAGUC
rnacentral:rRNA from 1 species